rnacentral:lncRNA from 1 species
AUCCCCCCAAUUCCAAAAACCGCAAAGAUGUAAGUGUAUCGACUUGGCAUAGGUUCCUGAAAGGAAUGUUCACCGUUAAUGCACAGUUGUGAAUUGUGACUGGAUGGAUUUUUUUACAUGCAAUAAUUCGAAAACUAUGCAAUAUUUCGGAUAUUUUAAGGGCCAUAUGAGUGAAAGAAUAGUCCAAGAAGUAGAGAGAAUCAAGCCGUGGUUAGGGGGAAUAGAUCUCAACAUAUGCAUGGCACUACACAUGCCAAAAACUUAAUAACAUACACUUCAACUCCUCUUUUUUUUCCACACUUUUCAACUGUGAACUCCCUGUUUUUUUUCUUUUUUUUUUCAUUCCCCUUUCCUCCGUUUUUUCUCAAUUCUCAAAAAAAUACAUCCAAAAACUGGCUUUUUGAGAUCUUUUUAUACACAGUACCGAAAAGAAUGACAGAAGAAGAGAAUAUAUGGACGUGCGAUUAAUGUAAAAACAAAAUCGAAACGUUAUGUUAAACAUGUAAAGAUGUCAAAAAUUCUAACUCAUCCACACUAACAUGUAAACUAAAUUCAAAAAUAUUGAAGCUAUGUUCAAACAAUGAAGUUCAAUAAAUUUUCUUGAGUAAAAGGUUAAAAUGCUCACAAAAACGAUUUAUGGGCUCUAAAGCUCACAAGGUAUCUAAAUCUCACUUUAUGGAUGCAAUCAUGUAGACUCUAUAACAGUUUCACUUCGAACAAAACAUGAUCGUUGGCAGUGUAUAUGAUCCUCUCUCUCUUAUAUAAGCACAAACAGUUAAAGAUAUCAAGCAUGCCAAGAUUGAAUUGACAUGAAAUCGCUUGAACCAUCAUAUUAUGCAAAGUUACUAAUUGCUUAACUAUCUUGAAGACAAAACACAAUGAUUCAGUUAUGGUCCCAAAAAGUAAGCAUUUCAACACAUCCACAAUAUACGGAAAGAUCUGAUUAUAAACUGGGAAUGCGAAGUGCACAAUGAAAUUUGCAGGAACCAGAAAACAAACCUAUUUCGGAGACAUGUAAUAGAAAAUAAACCUGCUAUCACAUCCAAAAACACGUUAGCAAUAUUUUUUUUUUAAAAUUUUAAAAUUUUUUUUUUCAAAUUUUUUUAUGAAAAAUUAAACUACCCUAAAAACUAAAUUAUCCUAAAAAUAAAAAACAUAUGAAGUUACUCCCCCCAACUAGAGAUGAGCAUUCUCCGAAAUGCGAAAAAAAAAAUAAAAAAAAAAAUAAAAAAUAAAACAGAACUGAAUGGCGAGAAAAGUAAAAGGGUGAGACAACACCCUUUCCCCCAACUAAAAUUAAACUAUCUCUAAACUCGACUCACCAAAGAUAAUUAUACAACAAACAUAGAAGGUAUUAGGUUUCAAUUCAUUCAAGGUGGAUCAGUCGCAUCCAAACCCUCACUCCUCCUUGCUCAAAACCAAGAUUGGGCUUCAAUGAUGCCUUUAACUUUGAAAAACAUGAAAGGAAAGUGGAACGUCGGGCCACCUACUUGAAACUCCACGGAAAUAAGGUAAUCGAGAAUUGUAUAGACAAACCUUAUGAACAACUUUAAAAGAGUUAUCAAAGUAUGUGGUCAUGCACAAGUUUCAUCUUUGAUUCUUUUUUUAACUUUCGGUGUCCAUACACAUUUUUCAAAAAACUUAAUUGUGAAAAUCACAAAGUAGGAGUCCAAGACUCACAUGCAUAAAAAAAAUUACUUCUUCCCUUCAAAAAACUAGAUCCUUAAACUCAAACAUGGUAGAUUACAAUGUCAUUGGACUCACUCAAAAACUAGAACCCUCUCAAUUGGCUCCUCAAUAGGAUUCAUUGUUACAUGCUUUUGUAUACUAGCUCAAUAAAAUUCACCUUCUCAACAUGUCUAUAUCCGAUAAUUGGUACCCACGUGAAGAUAUUAGUUUCUAAGGUUAUAUUCCCAAAACAAAAAGUUAAGUAGCCAUUAUAAAUGAAUAAUGGCAUUCAUUCGACGUUGCCAGGAUGAUCGUCCUAAAAUAACAGAAAUAUGAUGCUUAGAAGAUUCGGCCUCCACAGGUUAGGUAUCUAAAACAAUAAAAUCAACCGGAUAGUAGACCGUAUCAACUGGAUAAGCACAUCCUCUACGACACAUCUAGAGGACCCUUAAUAGAUCGAAUCGCUAACUCGAGUGUAACACGUGGUGGCUUAAGUUCUCCAAGAUCCUAAUCUUUAUACACAGAGUAUGGCAAAGAAUUAACGAUAGACCCUAGGUCAAGAGUGCAGAUCGAUCCUAUAACCCCCUAGUAUACAGAAAUUUAGGACCAACCAGGGGUCCUUAUAUUUGAGCACAGAUUUGCAUUGAAGAAUUGCACUUUGGCUCUCAUUCAUCAUCGCUCGUCUCUUUGACAUCGAACUUCCUUUAACAGUACACAAGUCAUUCAAAAAUUGGGCUAGGAAGGGAUUUGUUUGAUAGCAUCUAACAUAGGUAUGUAAUUCGAACUUCUUUAAGAUAUCAUAGAUUCAGCAUUCAAGUGCGGUUUUUUACUC